UUAAGCGACUAAGCGUACACGGUGGAUGCCCUGGCAGUCAGAGGCGAUGAAGGACGUGCUAAUCUGCGAUAAGCGUCGGUAAGGUGAUAUGAACCGUUAUAACCGGCGAUUUCCGAAUGGGGAAACCCAGUGUGAUUCGUCACACUAUCAUUAACUGAAUCCAUAGGUUAAUGAGGCGAACCGGGGGAACUGAAACAUCUAAGUACCCCGAGGAAAAGAAAUCAACCGAGAUUCCCCCAGUAGCGGCGAGCGAACGGGGAGCAGCCCAGAGCCUGAAUCAGUGUGUGUGUUAGUGGAAGCGUCUGGAAAGGCGCGCGAUACAGGGUGACAGCCCCGUACACAAAAAUGCACAUACUGUGAGCUCGAUGAGUAGGGCGGGACACGUGGUAUCCUGUCUGAAUAUGGGGGGACCAUCCUCCAAGGCUAAAUACUCCUGACUGACCGAUAGUGAACCAGUACCGUGAGGGAAAGGCGAAAAGAACCCCGGCGAGGGGAGUGAAAAAGAACCUGAAACCGUGUACGUACAAGCAGUGGGAGCCUCUUAAUGGGGUGACUGCGUACCUUUUGUAUAAUGGGUCAGCGACUUAUAUUCUGUAGCAAGGUUAACCGAAUAGGGGAGCCGAAGGGAAACCGAGUCUUAACUGGGCGUUAAGUUGCAGGGUAUAGACCCGAAACCCGGUGAUCUAGCCAUGGGCAGGUUGAAGGUUGGGUAACACUAACUGGAGGACCGAACCGACUAAUGUUGAAAAAUUAGCGGAUGACUUGUGGCUGGGGGUGAAAGGCCAAUCAAACCGGGAGAUAGCUGGUUCUCCCCGAAAGCUAUUUAGGUAGCGCCUCGUGAAUUCAUCUCCGGGGGUAGAGCACUGUUUCGGCAAGGGGGUCAUCCCGACUUACCAACCCGAUGCAAACUGCGAAUACCGGAGAAUGUUAUCACGGGAGACACACGGCGGGUGCUAACGUCCGUCGUGAAGAGGGAAACAACCCAGACCGCCAGCUAAGGUCCCAAAGUCAUGGUUAAGUGGGAAACGAUGUGGGAAGGCCCAGACAGCCAGGAUGUUGGCUUAGAAGCAGCCAUCAUUUAAAGAAAGCGUAAUAGCUCACUGGUCGAGUCGGCCUGCGCGGAAGAUGUAACGGGGCUAAACCAUGCACCGAAGCUGCGGCAGCGACGCUUAUGCGUUGUUGGGUAGGGGAGCGUUCUGUAAGCCUGCGAAGGUGUGCUGUGAGGCAUGCUGGAGGUAUCAGAAGUGCGAAUGCUGACAUAAGUAACGAUAAAGCGGGUGAAAAGCCCGCUCGCCGGAAGACCAAGGGUUCCUGUCCAACGUUAAUCGGGGCAGGGUGAGUCGACCCCUAAGGCGAGGCCGAAAGGCGUAGUCGAUGGGAAACAGGUUAAUAUUCCUGUACUUGGUGUUACUGCGAAGGGGGGACGGAGAAGGCUAUGUUGGCCGGGCGACGGUUGUCCCGGUUUAAGCGUGUAGGCUGGUUUUCCAGGCAAAUCCGGAAAAUCAAGGCUGAGGCGUGAUGACGAGGCACUACGGUGCUGAAGCAACAAAUGCCCUGCUUCCAGGAAAAGCCUCUAAGCAUCAGGUAACAUCAAAUCGUACCCCAAACCGACACAGGUGGUCAGGUAGAGAAUACCAAGGCGCUUGAGAGAACUCGGGUGAAGGAACUAGGCAAAAUGGUGCCGUAACUUCGGGAGAAGGCACGCUGAUAUGUAGGUGAAGUCCCUCGCGGAUGGAGCUGAAAUCAGUCGAAGAUACCAGCUGGCUGCAACUGUUUAUUAAAAACACAGCACUGUGCAAACACGAAAGUGGACGUAUACGGUGUGACGCCUGCCCGGUGCCGGAAGGUUAAUUGAUGGGGUUAGCGGUAACGCGAAGCUCUUGAUCGAAGCCCCGGUAAACGGCGGCCGUAACUAUAACGGUCCUAAGGUAGCGAAAUUCCUUGUCGGGUAAGUUCCGACCUGCACGAAUGGCGUAAUGAUGGCCAGGCUGUCUCCACCCGAGACUCAGUGAAAUUGAACUCGCUGUGAAGAUGCAGUGUACCCGCGGCAAGACGGAAAGACCCCGUGAACCUUUACUAUAGCUUGACACUGAACAUUGAGCCUUGAUGUGUAGGAUAGGUGGGAGGCUUUGAAGUGUGGACGCCAGUCUGCAUGGAGCCGACCUUGAAAUACCACCCUUUAAUGUUUGAUGUUCUAACGUUGGCCCGUAAUCGGGGUUGCGGACAGUGUCUGGUGGGUAGUUUGACUGGGGCGGUCUCCUCCUAAAGAGUAACGGAGGAGCACGAAGGUUGGCUAAUCCUGGUCGGACAUCAGGAGGUUAGUGCAAUGGCAUAAGCCAGCUUGACUGCGAGCGUGACGGCGCGAGCAGGUGCGAAAGCAGGUCAUAGUGAUCCGGUGGUUCUGAAUGGAAGGGCCAUCGCUCAACGGAUAAAAGGUACUCCGGGGAUAACAGGCUGAUACCGCCCAAGAGUUCAUAUCGACGGCGGUGUUUGGCACCUCGAUGUCGGCUCAUCACAUCCUGGGGCUGAAGUAGGUCCCAAGGGUAUGGCUGUUCGCCAUUUAAAGUGGUACGCGAGCUGGGUUUAGAACGUCGUGAGACAGUUCGGUCCCUAUCUGCCGUGGGCGCUGGAGAACUGAGGGGGGCUGCUCCUAGUACGAGAGGACCGGAGUGGACGCAUCACUGGUGUUCGGGUUGUCAUGCCAAUGGCACUGCCCGGUAGCUAAAUGCGGAAGAGAUAAGUGCUGAAAGCAUCUAAGCACGAAACUUGCCCCGAGAUGAGUUCUCCCUGACUCCCUGAGAGUCCUGAAGGAACGUUGAAGACGACGACGUUGAUAGGCCGGGUGUGUAAGCGCAGCGAUGCGUUGAGCUAACCGGUACUAAUGAACCGUGAGGCUUAACCUU
rnacentral:rRNA from 1 species